GCAUCCAUAGCUGAAUGGGUAAAGCACCCAACUCAACAUUGGUGAAUUCGUAGGUUCGAUUCCUGCUGUAUGCA
rnacentral:tRNA from 1 species